rnacentral:rRNA from 1 species
CAAUAGCGUAUAUUAAAGCUGUUGCGGUUAAAAAGCUCGUAGUUGGAUUUCUGUCAAGGACAACUGGUCCGCCCUCCGGGUGAGCACAUAGUUUGGUCUUGACAUCUUGCUGGAAGCUGUUGCUGCACUUGGCUGUGUGGCGCAGUGUUCAGCACUUUCACUUUGAGGAAAUUGGAGUGUUUCAAGCAGGCACAUGCCUUUGGACACAGUAGCAUGGAAUAAUUAGAUUGGGCUUUUGCUCCAACUUGUCGGUUUCUGGAGCUGAGGUGAGAAUUAAUGGGGAUUGUUGGGGGCAUCCGAAUUUAGCCGUCAGAGGUGAAAUUCUUGGAUCUGCUAAAGACGGACAACUGCGAAAGCGUUUGCCCAGGAUGUUUUCAUUGA